CUCACUUCUCGAAGACCAUGGUCUUCAGCGACUUUCUCGUCUUACCUCCAGGCGCCUCUGCUCCUCCGCAUGCCAAUCCAUUUUAAAUGAGGCCGUGCUGGAAUAAGUUCUUUGACUAGUCCUUCGACCCCAACCACAGACUUUGUUUUGUCUACUUGGACCUAAAAGAAAGAGACGGAAAUAUAUAUAUAUAAUCAGCACAAAGAGAAGCUGCUGGGAGAGAAAGAUCCACAGGAAUAGUUGUUUGAAAGAUGAUGUAGAUGGUAAAAUUUCAUGGACUCUCCAUGCAAGCGGUGAAUAUGCUUGGCUGUUGCUGGAAAUGGCAUUCAGUGCAUUCCAUGUGGAAAAAUGCAAACCUGAGAUUCCCUACUCAUACAACAGCAUUGUAAUGUAUCACAAUCAUUUUAGACAUUUCCCAGGAAGGUGGAAGAGCACUUGAGGUAAGUACUUCAUUAAAGGCACUGGGCGGGGAAAUUAAUAACGUCUUUAUGGAGUUAUUUAAAAUUCAGCUUAUAAUACAUCUGCUUAUAAUACAUGGGAUGAGUCCAGAGCACUAUUCCUGGUCUAGUUAGGUAAAGCUUAGACCUCCAUGCAGCUCUGUCCAAGCAAAAUGUCUACCAAGGCAGUCCAUAUAAUAUAAUUUUUGUUUCUGCUGCUUGGGGAAAUAAUAAACAUACUGAGGGAGGGGAGAGAUCAGGCCUGUGCACCAGUUUCUCCACUACUGAACUAGAGGAUAAAGAGUAUUGUUUCUCAGUUCUGCUAGCAAACUGCAGCAUUUCAUGGCUAACACCUUACAUGUGGACAUUUUAGUGACACUUUACUCCAUUCUUAUCCUGCCAAUAUCCUAUAAUGCCUUUAAUAUUUGUGUGAUACAGCUGAGUCUUUGAGGGACUCUCCUCUUCAUUUAGGCUUGAAAAACAUACAGGCUUCCCAAACUGAGCAACAGUGCUGUUGUUUUCUCUCUUUUGCUCUCAGAGCUCCUGGCCUCUUGCUUCCAGAAGUAUUUCGUGGGUCCUGGUUUUCUGUCAGAGGUCCUGAUCUUCUUUUGUGUCCAGAAUAUGAUCCAGAUCAAGCUCUUUCUCUGGCACUUCUUCUGCUUGGAAACUGAGUUUUAUAAGCAUCUUACAUCCCUCUGUUUGAUUCUUCCUAGCCAUACCUUUGAAACUCCAGUGGGAGCACUUACAGUGUACCUUGGCUUUUUGAAAGUGCUUUUGGUUUAUGGCUUAUGUUUCCUCAAAGGAAGAUCCUGGUCUAUUUUUUAUUCCUACACUCCACGACAGACUGAUGUUCACACUUCCAAUUCUCACUGUCCUCCUGGCUCUGCUCCAUGCCUAGGGUAUAACUAGUGAGAACAAGCCUUUCAUCUUGUUCACAUUUAUUGACUGCUGGCUUACACGUGACUCCUCUUUUGCUUUUAAUGUAACUGCAUAAACUAUUGUUUGGAUUUUCAGCAAUUAAUCACCAGAGUAGGAAUAUAACUGUUGCACACAGUUAUAUUGAUUUUAAUCAUGCUAGAUUUGAACUGGUGGCCCUAGAUAAAAAAAAUAUUUCACGUGGUCAUUUUUAUGUCAUGGAGAUAUUUAUGCCACCAUUUUCCUUCUCAUAUAUUAAGGUGCUCUGCUAAACAGUUUUUAAUGUUUUCAGCUGCAACAAUAUUCUAAAUGGAACACACACAUCCACCACAUAAUAAAGUAUGAUUCUUUAUUAUGGUCCCCUCCUUCCCAUCUGUUCACCACUAGCUCAGAGAAGUGAAAAGAAAUAUCACCUUCAUUUGAGAGAGAGAAUAGUCAAAUAUUACUGCUACCUGAUACCAUCACACCAACCUAAAUCUUGUCUUGAAGUUUGCAGCUAAAGCAAUUGAGCUGGUAAAAUUAAAAUGGCUGCAGAUAGGCUGGCCAUAUACAAAAGGGACAUAGAGCUCUACUACCUUUAAUUAAUCUAUAAAAGACAGAACUCAGGCAGGUGCAGUCUGUCUUACAGAGGAAGUGAAAAAAUGCUUCUCCUGAAAUUCUCUUCUACAUAAAGCUUUCACUUCCUUUAUUUGCAUCUGAUACCCCUAGUCAUAGCAAACAUGGUGAAAGUGUGACUCUUUCCCAAAUUCUGUUCUGCUAUUAUUUAAUUUCAACCAAUUCUGGGUCUCUGGAGGGACUUACAACGAAGGACUGAUGCAAAGCCAAACAUGAUGUAACCAGUGCUUUUUUUCUAGAGGGACACAGGGGUACGCAUAC